AAGACUUGGCGGUGCCCUAUACCUUCUAGAGGAGCCUGUUCUAUAAUCGAUAACCCCCGAUAAACCUCACCUCUUCUUGCCUAUACCGUCUGUAUACCUCCGUCGUCAGCUGACCCCUCAAGAGCUGUCAGUCAAAUGGGCUUUUCCCCAACAAGUCAGGUCAAGGUGCAGCGAAUGAAGAGGAAAGAAAUGGGCUACAUUUUCUACCUGUAGACUAUUACGGAAAAUCAAAUAUGAAAUCUGAUCGGAAGGCGGAUUUAGCAGUAAAAAGAGAUCAGUAAGCUCUUUUUAAAUAGGCCCUAGGGCGCGUACAUACUGCCCGUCAUCCUCUUCAACCCAUUUAACAAUUUCUUAAAAAUUUCUUAGGAUUUAAGAAGAGACAAGUCGUAACAUGGUAAGUCUACCGGAAGGUAGACUUGG
rnacentral:rRNA from 1 species